UUUAACUGAGCGUUCAGUUACUUGACGUAGACCCGAAACCGGGCGACCUACCCAUGAGCAGGAUGAAGCGAAAGUAAAAUUUCGUGGAGGUCCGAACCCACGAGCGUUGAAAAGCUCGGGGAUGACUUGUGGGUAGCGGUGAAAUUCCAAUCGAGCCCGGAGAUAGCUGGUUCUCCCCGAAAUAGCUUUAGGGCUAGCCUCAAGGUGAGAGAUACGGAGGUAGAGCACUGAAUGUCCUAGGGGGGAUUGCACCUACCGAAGACUAACAAACUCCGAAUGCCGUCAUCUUACAAUUGGGAGUCAGGCUGUGGGUGCUAAGAUUCAUAGUCGAAAGGGCAACAGCACUGAUCUUCAGUUAAGGUCACUAAACGAAAGUAAAGUGGUAAUAGAUGAUGGAUUGCACAGACAACCACGAUGUGGGCUUAGAAGCAGCAACUCAUUCAAAGAGUGCGUAAUAGCUCACUGGUCGAGUGAUCCUGCGCCGAAGAUUUCCGGGGCUAAAACUUACUACCGAAGCUACGGCAUCAGUAAUGAUGGGUAGGGGAGCUUCCCAUACGGGUUGAAGCAUGACCGUAAGGACAUGUGGACAGGAUGGGAGUGAGAAUGUUGGCAUGAGUAGCGAGAUGUGGGUGGGAAUCCCACAGGCCGUAAACCCAAGGUUUCCAGGGGAAGGUUCGUCCGCCCUGGGUUAGUCGGGACCUAAGCUGAGGCCGAAAGGCGUAGGUGAUGGACAACAGGUUGAUAUUCCUGUACUACCGAUAACCGUUUGAGAGAAGGGAUGACACAGUAGGAUAAGCUAAGCACACUGUUGGUUAUGUGUGCCCAAGCAUUGAGGCAGUCAAAGUAGGCAAAUCCGCUUUGAUAAUGCUGGGAUGUGAUGGGGAGCGAAAUUUAGUAGCGAAGUAGCUGAUUUCACACUGUCAAGAAAAGUCUCUAUCGAGGUUAAAGGUACCCGUACCGCAAACCGACACAGGUG
rnacentral:rRNA from 1 species